GCAGACACAUUCCAGCCAAUCAGCAGCAGACCCUCCCUCCCUGACCCUUCCACCUCCUGGACAGCAUCCAUUUUGAAGCUGCAUUCUUAGUGAGCUGUCCAGGAGGUGGGAGGGUCUGGGAGGGAGGGUCUGCUGCUGAUUGGCUGGAAUGUGUCUG